GACGGUGGGUCCAAUAGCGUUGCACGAUCUUGGACCUCUUAGUUGGAUAAUCCACGAACGAGGAUCCACUGGACCUGGACCUGGUAGUCUCCGCCGCUCUCUCUCUCCCGGAUCACUGCAUCUGAUGAACGCCACCGCCCUCUCUCUCUCUCCCCGCCGGCGGCCACCCCACCCCCGAAGCUCGCCGACGUAUCUCCGUUUCCGUCUCCCCGUUUGAUGGCAUAGGGACUAGGGUUCACCUGCUUAAGACCUCUCCGCCGUCGCCACCACCCCGACUCCGACGAGCCACUUCGCUGCCGCCUGCACAACCCGACGCCUCCGUUCUUGGCCACCAAUACAAGCACCCUGACGCCCGCCCCUUCCAAUUGGUCAAGUUGUGCCGUCUCACCUGGAGCAGCUUAAGUUGCUGAUAAUCAGCGGUAGUACUCCAAUUGUCAGAAUAUCAAACAGUCAAACUGCAGAGCAAGCGCAGCUUCGUGAUGGAUGGACACAAAUUUAUAGUCCGACAUUAUCAUGUAACUUAAGUUGCCAUUUAUCGAGAAUUCAUUAUUGUUACUUUGGCAGUUGUUAGCCAUCUGUAUGCAUGCAAUGUAGCCCACAGGCUUGAGUUCAUAACUGUGAUAUGAUUUGAGUUCUGUCUUUA